UUCUUUCUUCUGUUUAUUCCCCAUCUUAUUCCUUAUUUUGUCCAUCGGAAACAAUCUCUUCACCUUCUCAAGGUUAAGGAUAACGCUACGCAUUAGUAGUGAAAGGGGUUUGAUUUUAUCAACAAAACUUCUCCAGAAAAUAAAUAUUCCCAGUUUGUAUGCUUAUUUUAUGUAUUUUGUUUUGAGAAAUAUCGGUUAUAAUUCAGGAUGACAGUGGUAUCAAACUUGCAUACGAUAUGCCAUGUUUUCUCACAUAAGUUGUACAUAUUUACUAGAUAAUGUGACAAAUUAUGAGGUAGGUAUGUAUUGUGUGUGGUUUGCCCCUCUGUUCCAUCUAUUUUGUUUUUCCCGUCAGUUUUGCUUCAUCUCUACAUUGUUCCUAUGUAUCAAAUCUUUUUUUUCUCUGUAGCAGAUUCAUCUCUACAUUGUUCAAAUGGUCUCACCAAUCAGAAGUGUUAUUUGAUCAUAAGAGAUGAAAGACAUUGUUCGUGGAAUUUAAAGCUAAGUUCUUAUGAAACUUGAACCUAUGUUUUAGGUGGAUGGCCCAUUUUCAUUGCUUAAAGAAGUUAGAUCGCAUAAUGUUUGAGUUUGUUAUUAAUUGAGAGACACCAAUAUUCUCUUCAGUACAUACCAUGAUCAUGCUCUAUUGUGAUACAUUUUUAUGCUGAUAGAUUGUCUUUUUUAACAAUCAUCUUAUUGGGUUGUUGUCACGGAAUCUGUUGAUAGCCAGAUCUGAAUUGCAGGUCAAGAGAGAAUUAAAAAGGAUUGAUUUCACUAAGAUAUAAAGAGGAGGCAAGCUGCUAAUGUUUUGCCAACCACUUGAACGAGAAAUUUGGGGUAAUUUAUGUUGCAUUCUGAUAUUAUUUACUUCACUAUCUUUUGUGAUUGAAUGUUUAGAGAGUGAAAAAACUUCGUUAAGCCAUGUAUCUCACUAUCUUGCUAUUGUCAAUAAAUACAAAUUUCAUGAAUUUAUGUUUUGUUUAUCUUUUUAAUCGUUGUACUGGGGUGUGAAAGAUCUUUCACGACUAAAGUUAAAACAUCACAAGCAAGAGAUACACGGUUGGACAUGUCAUAAUCAUCUUUAGAAGUUAGUUAUUAACUCAACCCCUAUUUUCCUCUGAAAAGUAGAAGGAAUGAUUCUGCAAAACCUAAGAAAUUCUAAGAUACAUGCUGAAUAUACAAAUUUUGGUUAUUCUCCGUAUUGAUGCGAUUAUGUUUAGGUGAGUAUAUGUCAAUAGUCUGAUAUUACACUAUCUUUGAGUUGAUAGUUCAUUUUUUGUUCAGUUGGUUCAAUCAUAGUUUGUAUGUAGACUUCCAAUAUUUUGCACCCAAUUGUAUUUAUUGACACAUUAAAUUGAAUUCAUUUUCCAAUAUUUUUCUCUGUGGCCUCAUUACUUCUGGAUAUUUUUUUCUUUUUACAUCAGCUUGCAAUUCUAAUGGUCUUUUCUUUUCUGCCAGCAGCUAGUCAUUUAUUGAUGAUUUUUAUAAAACACAAGUGUGUACAAAUGAUGAAAUUUCUGAAGUCUGAACAUUUGAAUCAACAGACCAAGUCCAAAGCCAAGGAGGGACUUAUUGUUAAGGUAGAGCUAUCUGUCAUUUACUAUGCAACCAUAUAGUGUUGCUCAACCACAUGUGCUUGGUUCACAUGUUCGAUCAAUGUUAGAGAAUAUUAGUUUGAUAAAUCUCUUUGUAUUUUGAUGAUUAUGUCUCUGCAGAAAAAGCUUUAC
rnacentral:lncRNA from 1 species